GGUACAGCACUGAACUCUACGCUAUUGGGCUUGAAGCAAAGAUCAAGCCGUCCAAAACUAUCGUUCCUGUGGGCUAGGAGAAGCCACCAAGGGGCUGGUUGAAGCUUAAUUCAGAUGGUUCAACCCUGAAGAACCCAGGAAUCUCAUGAAGCAAAUCCCAAACAAGCGCGUGAUUCAUUCCUACCGUAAAGCCAAUCAAUGUGUAGAUACUUUAGCCAAGCUAGGAGCACAAUCCUUCAUUCAUUUUGUUGUUUUUUGUAACCUACCGCCUGUGGUGGAGACUUUGUUAAUUUUUGAUAAGGCUAGUAUGUAUUAUAAUAGACAUGUAAAUUCCUAGUUUAAUGUUAAAUCUUGGUUUACCCCCAAAAAAAAAUAAUAAUAAAAAUAAAGAGACAACUUUUUUUUUUCAGAUUUUAA